GUGGGGAAUUUUGGACAAUGGGCGCAAGCCUGAUCCAGCAAUGCCGCGUGCAGGAUGAAGGCCUUCGGGUUGUAAACUGCUUUUGUACGGAGCGAAAAGGCUUUCACUAAUACUGGGGGCUCAUGACGGUACCGUAAGAAUAAGCACCGGCUAACUACGUGCCAGCAGCCGCGGUAAUACGUAGGGUGCAAGCGUUAAUCGGAAUUACUGGGCGUAAAGCGUGCGCAGGCGGUUUUGUAAGACAGGUGUGAAAUCCCCGGGCUUAACCUGGGAACUGCACUUGUGACUGCAAGGCUGGAGUACGGCAGAGGGGGAUGGAAUUCCGCGUGUAGCAGUGAAAUGCGUAGAUAUGCGGAGGAACACCGAUGGCGAAGGCAAUCCCCUGGGCCUGUACUGACGCUCAUGCACGAAAGCGUGGGGAGCAAACAGGAUUAGAAACCCGAGUAGUCC
rnacentral:rRNA from 1 species